CUUUUUUUUUGUCCAGGGGACAGAGAUUCCUAAAUUGCAAAUAAUACACAGGUGCCGAGGGCAUGGCUUGAUUGAAGAAAGCAGCAGUAAGCCACUGGGUGGUUUGUGGUUUCUCUCACCUGGUCAGGACCAGAGGCAGUAACGUUCUAGGAAGCCAAACGUCGGGAAAGGAUCAAGAGAGCAGUUUCCAGGCUCUCGGCCUCAUGUGGAAAGGUGCUGGCUCGGUUAUUAGAUGGCCAUCAGCUGUAACCAGGUGGCCAUUAGCUACUGUUGGUGGCUGCGUUAGUGAGCACAGGUGUCGCGGAUGGUGCAGAUCCUGCGGAUCCUACUUCCUGUGUCUCCCUGGCCGCCAGCGAGACUGUGGUGCAGGAAGACCCCUUGUUGGGGUGUUGACGGAUGUUUGCUUCUCAUGUCUGGACCAGCCGUCAUGGAGAAUAUAAUACAGUGGCAUGAAACACACACACACACACCCCAUCUGUGGCUCCGUUGUUGUUCCUUUUUGGCCUCACCAAAUCCUGCGUUCA